ensembl:lncRNA
GCUAACUUCCUGCUAACUUCUAACGCCGUUAAAUGUCAUAAAUUCCAUUUUCAUGGAUGCCUGGAUGUUAAACUCAAUUGUUACACCUGGUAGAGCAGAACACUGAUCAUUUUAUUAAAGAUGAAAGACUUUAGACAGUUUUUCAACUCUCAGUAAUGCCACAGUGAUCGUUUGAUAUAUGGACCUGCAGCGGAGUUUAGGCCCAGACACGGCCAGUGACGUCAGACUGAACAACCGGAAACUGUUAUCCGUAAGGAAUGUAGUGAAAGUUCCCAAGAGGUUAAAAACACCACUGAAAAAAUGCCAUCAGACCUGAGUUGGGACACUUGGAUUAUGGAGCUUCUGGACCAAGAGAAUGAAUGGGAGCAUGUGUUUAACAGCGUAGUGAAACAUUUGGGCGGUGGAAAAAUAAUGGAAAAUAAAAUUCAGACUACAGACUGCUUCAGGUUUCCAUACAUCGGAAACAGCUGCUGCAUCUGUAAUUCUGUCCAUCCUGAGGAGAGUCCACACUCUACAACAGAUCCUU